ACAGUAAGCAAAAUGGGCCCACCCAAAAACGUCAGGGUCGAAGGUGUAGCGUACGAAGUGGGAAGAAAUAGGGCUACAUUUUCUAAAAUAGAAUAUUUACGAGACAGCACCCUGAAAACGUGCUAGAAGAGUGGAUUUAGUAGUAAAAAGUAAAUAGAGAGUCCUUUUGAAUUAGGCUCUGAGACGCGCACACACCGCCCGUCACUCUCCCCUAACACUAUCAAUUUAUAUAAAUAAUAAU
rnacentral:rRNA from 1 species